rnacentral:rRNA from 1 species
CCUACGGGGGGCAGCAGUAGGGAAUUUUCGUCAAUGGGCGCAAGCCUGAACGAGCAAUGCCGCGUGAACGAGGAAGGUCUUCGGAUCGUAAAGUUUCGUUGAAGGGGAAAAAGAGCGGAGAGAGGAAAUGAACUCCGAUUGAUAUUACCCUUCGAGGAAGUCACGGCUAACUACGUCCGAGCAGCCGCGGCAAUACGUAGGUGGCGAGCGUUAUCUGGAAUGAUUGGGCGAAAAGGGUGCGUAGGCGGCCUGCUAAGUCUGGAGUGAAAGGUACCGGCUCAACCGGUACAGGCUCUGGAAACUGGCGGGCUAGAGAGCAGGAGAGGGCGGUGGAACUCCAUGUGUAGCGGUAAAAUGCGUAGAUAUAUGGAAGAACACCAGUGGCGAAGGCGGCCGCCUGGCCUGUUACUGACGCUGAGGCACGAAAGCGUGGGGAGCAAAUAGGAUUAGAUACCCCGGUAGUC